CUUCGCACCUCGCGUUUGAACUCAACCUGGACUGCUCUGCUGGUCUUGGCGUGCGGCUGUGAGGACGGAGACGGAAGAGUUCUGGCUGGCGUGACUUGUGCGGAGAAGGGAGUUGCAGUUUUCUGACAUUAAAUAUUAACACUGGGGAUUAAUAAUGAAGGCUGACAGUUCCUUUCUCGGUAUUUCUGAGCGUGUCUCUCCCCAGCCUGCAAGGCCAGCAGGCCCAGGCCCUUCCCCUGCCCGAGCCAUGUGGCCGGAGGCCCCUGCUCUCUGAGGUCAGGAGAGCUUCCCUGAUGCCCCAGGUCCCAGCUGUGCUAGCCGCCAGGCCUGCUGAACUCUGGUGACCCACGAGCCAAGGAACAUCACGGCAGCCUUGAACUUACGCGCAGGGAGCUGGACCGGCUGAAGUCUGUGCUGGACAAUUAGACACGCAGCAAUCUUUUACGUAAUAAAAGUGAUGGAGCCCCUGAAUUCUUUCUGGGCACAUAAGCCAUGUUUGGCAUUGGACUACAUUUUCCAGACUCCUUUGCAAGCUAGAGGUGACCUGUGACUGAUUGCUGGCCAAGAGAAUAGACCCAUGUAGCAAGAAACAGAGGCCUCUGCCAACAGCCACAUGAGUGUGCUUGGAUGCCGAUCGUCCUAUCCCAGAGAAGACCUGAGAGACGGCUGCUGCAGACACCAGCUUGAGGGAAGCUUGAGGCAGAACCCCCCAGACAGGCUGGUCCUGGAUUCCUGACCCCCAGAAGC